rfam:Schistocephalus solidus strain NST_G2 genome assembly, scaffold: SSLN_scaffold0000373
GAGCCCGUGGCUCAAUGGUAGAGCGUUCGACUCAAAUACCAAAGGUCGCGGGUUCU